UGGGGAAUUUUGGACAAUGGGCGCAAGCCUGAUCCAGCCAUGCCGCGUGAGUGAAGAAGGCCUUCGGGUUGUAAAGCUCUUUCAGCCGGAAAGAAAUCGCACUUGCUAAUACUAAGUGUGGAUGACGGUACCGGAAGAAGAAGCACCGGCUAACUACGUGCCAGCAGCCGCGGUAAUACGUAGGGUGCGAGCGUUAAUCGGAAUUACUGGGCGUAAAGCGUGCGCAGGCGGUUUUGUAAGACAGAUGUGAAAUCCCCGGGCUUAACCUGGGAACUGCAUUUGUGACUGCAAGGCUAGAGUACGGCAGAGGGGGGUAGAAUUCCACGUGUAGCAGUGAAAUGCGUAGAUAUGUGGAGGAAUACCGAUGGCGAAGGCAGCCCCCUGGGCUAACACUGACGCUCAUGCACGAAAGCGUGGGGAGCAAACAGGAUUAGAUACCCCAGUAGUCCCUGAGCGGGCUGGCAAGGCGCAU
rnacentral:rRNA from 1 species